AGUGAUUAAUGCCAAAGCCCUGUUGCCUGUGGAGAGGGUGAUGUUUGACUUUCUUGUACAGCUGCAGUUUGUGUGGUGAAGGUGCUCCCACAAUGUGGUUGGAUCCCAGUGAUUAAUGCCAAAGCCCCAUUGCCUGUGGAGAGGGUGAUGUUUGACUUCCUUGUACAGCUGCAGUUUGUGUGGUGAAGGUGCUCCCACAAUGUGGUUGGGUGGACAUUCAGAUGGUAACCUCAGUAUUUGUAACACCAAACUCUGACAGAAUUACUCAAUUCAUCAGGACCUGGAUAUUUGCAUUUAGUUGGUACUGAAAGGGUGGAUUUGUGGAUGAAAAAUUCAAAUUGAGCUUCAUGUUCAGACCUGAUGGUUACUGGAUCCGUGCCGAUCUGAAUAUCAUUGGCCUUUUCAUCUGGAAGGAAAGGGGGCUAGAUGGUGAAGGUUUGCAGCCUGAAAUCUCAAACUCGUGCAGAUUGUGAUUAAGUUAACCAGCAUUUGAAGAACCAAAGAUAGAGAAUCACUUGGUCAAAAUCCUGCAACACUCUCCCACACAGCAUUUUUGGUCUAUCUGCACCAAAUGGACUGUGAAUGGUACAAGACAGCAGCUCACUACCAUCUUCUCGAGGGUAACUAGAGAUGGGGAAUAAAUGCUGGCUGAGCCAGUGAUGCCCAUAUCCUGGAAAUGGUUUCUAUCUCUAGUUGCUGAAACCCAGUUGAUGUUACUGCAGGAUGAUGAGGGAUGCUGAGUACAUCCUCCAGGAGGCAGCACCAUCACAUUACCCCUGCCUACACCCACACAGUAACACAGCAACGUCACUGGAACAAAAGGCAGUGAAACCAAAG